rnacentral:rRNA from 1 species
CUACGGAGGGUGCAGGCGUUAUUCGGAAUCACUGGGCGUAAAGGACGCGUAGGCGGGUUGGCAAGUCAGAUGUGAAAUCCUACAGCUUAACUGUAGAACUGCAUUUGAAACCGCUAACCUAGAGUAUGGGAGGGGGAGAUGGAAUUAGUGGUGUAGGGGUAAAAUCCGUAGAUAUCACUAGGAAUACCGAAAGCGAAGGCGAUCUCCUGGAACAUAACUGACGCUAAGGCGUGAAAGCGUGGGGAGCAAACAGGAUUAGAAACCCUAGUAGUCC